rnacentral:rRNA from 1 species
AUACGUAGGGGGCAAGCGUUAUCCGGAAUUAUUGGGCGUAAAGCGUGCGUAGGUGGUUACCUAAGCGCAAGGUUUAAUCUUGAGGCUCAACCUCAUUCUGCCUUGCGAACUGGGCUACUUGAGUGCUGGAGGGGAAAGCGGAAUUCCUAGUGGAGCGGUGAAAUGCGUAGAUAUUAGGAAGAACACCGGUGGCGAAGGCGGCUUUCUGGACAGUAACUGACACUGAGGCACGAAAGCGUGGGGAGCAAACAGGAUUAGAUACCCUGGUAGUCCACGCCGUAAACGAUGAGCACUAGUUGUUGGGUCCAAAUGGAUUCAGUGACGCAGUUAACGCAAUAAGUGCUCCGCCUGGGGAGUACGGUGGCAACACUAAAACUCAAAUGAAUUGACGGGG